UUUACCUUGCUACUUUUCUUAAAGUGGUGCUGGUGAUAUUUUUGCAAACUCUGACCUAUAACAUUUGGAGGUUCCACAGAGAUCCAGAGGACUUCUGGGCCCAGCAGUUUCAGGAAACUCCCUGAGAAGGGACCUGCCCAGCAGUAUUCUGAGGACUCCCUGGGAGGGGACCUGCAUCAGCCUCAGCUGCCGGGCAGUAUCAGCAAACUCCCUGAGAGGGGACUUGCAUCUAUCCCAGCUGCUUCUGCUUCCCCAGUCAGCCCUCCAGUUUCUCCCACCAUACCACCAACAAGAACUUGGGAUGAUGCGAUCUACAUUCAGAGUCGGUUUCUCCUGCCAGUUAAACCUUCCUGGAAACAUCCCCAUAGAAAAACCCUAAGGAGGAAGCCUGGAAACCUGACAUUUUACACCUUAGAACUUGCAUCUUUGACAAUCACCAGAGAGGGGCCAAUUAUAAGCCUUGAGGUGCUCCAGCACCUCUCUGCUGUCCACCAGGAGUUGAAGCAGCCCAGGACCCUCACCAGAAACUGAGCAGACACAGCAUCAUGUUCCUGGACUUCCAAAUCUCCAAAACUCUGGGUCAAAGUAAACUUCCUACCUUAGCAAUACCCAGCUUUGGACAUUCUGUUAUAGUAACAAAAUACAGACUAAAGCAAAGACAAAAAAGCAUAGUGGACCCAAAUGGAUAAUGAAAAAAUCAUCCAUCCUUUUCUACUUAUGUGAGUGCCUUCCUGAUUGUUUGUUUCUUUGGGGUACUGAAGAUGGAACCCAAAGCCUCAUGCAUGCUAAGCAAGCACUCAAUCACAGCGCUAUGUUCCCCAACUCCAGAAAAAAAAUGUAAUUGCACUCAACGACCUCCCAUGCUUUAUUAUCUGAGGUCCUCCCCUAGAACAAUUUCCUUUAUUAUACACAGGUCUUGUGAGUCACCUGAAUAAGAGAUACCAAAGCCAUUUGACUUAUAGUUUAAAACAAAAGGAUAACUGCAUUAAUUCA